GAAAGCCAGAAAGGAUUAUAACAUUAACCACCUCCUGGACACCAGGAAAUCACAAAGGGAGACUUCAUUCCCAGUUGGAACUCAUCACAGAAGCAUCUGCCCCACAUUGCCUGGCCAAGGGACCCUGAGCUAGCAACAAAUCCUGUCUGGCUAUGGAUUCACACUUGCUAUGAAUGUUCUCCUUCCCCAAGGCCUGACUGUGGUCCCUACAGUCACGAAGCUGUGCCUAACAAAGCUAACUUCUGAGGGGUCAUUUCUGCUCUGAUUUCUAGCAAGCGGGACUGCUA